rnacentral:rRNA from 1 species
GAUGAACGCUGGCGGCGUGCCUAAUGCAUGCAAGUCGAACGGUCUGAUUUAUCAGGUAGUGGCGAACGGCUGAGUAAAGCACAGGCAACCUGCCCUCAAGUGGGGAAUAACCCGCUGAAAGGCGGGCUAAUACCGCAUAUGCUCCCUCUGAGAAAUCAGUAGGGAGGAAAGCCUUCGGGCGCUUGAGGAGGGGCUUGUGUCCUAUCAGGUAGUUGGUAAGGUAACGGCCUACCAAGCCAGAGACGGGUAGCUGGUCUGAGAGGAUGGUCAGCCAGAUAGGGAAUGAGAGACGGCCCUGACUCCUACGGGAGGCAG